rnacentral:rRNA from 1 species
GACGAACGCUGGCGGCGUGCUUAACACAUGCAAGUCGAACGGAAAGGCCCUGCUUUUGUGGGGUGCUCGAGUGGCGAACGGGUGAGUAACACGUGAGUAACCUGCCCUUGACUUUGGGAUAACUUCAGGAAACUGGGGCUAAUACCGGAUAGGAGCUCCUGCUGCAUGGUGGGGGUUGGAAAGUUUCGGCGGUUGGGGAUGGACUCGCGGCUUAUCAGCUUGUUGGUGGGGUAGUGGCUUACCAAGGCUUUGACGGGUAGCCGGCCUGAGAGGGUGACCGGCCACAUUGGAACUGAGAUACGGCCCAGACUCCUACGGGAGGCAGAGGGGGGGAUAUUGCACAAUGGGCGGAAGCCUGAUGCAGCAACGCCGCGUGCGGGAUGACGGCCUUCGGGUUGUAAACCGCUUUCGCCUGUGACGAAGCGUGAGUGACGGUAAUGGGUAAAGAAGCACCGGCUAACUACGUG